GAUGAACGCUAGCUACAGGCUUAACACAUGCAAGUCGAGGGGCAGCAUGACCUAGCAAUAGGUUGAUGGCGACCGGCGCACGGGUGAGUAACACGUAUCCAACCUACCGGUUAUUCCGGGAUAGCCUUUCGAAAGAAAGAUUAAUACCGGAUAGUAUAACGAGAAGGCAUCUUCUUGUUAUUAAAGAAUUUCGAUAACCGAUGGGGAUGCGUUCCAUUAGUUUGUUGGCGGGGUAACGGCCCACCAAGACAUCGAUGGAUAGGGGUUCUGAGAGGAAGGUCCCCCACAUUGGAACUGAGACACGGUCCAAACUCCUACGGGAGGCAGCAGUGAGGAAUAUUGGUCAAUGGACGAGAGUCUGAACCAGCCAAGUAGCGUGAAGGAUGACUGCCCUAUGGGUUGUAAACUUCUUUUAUAUGGGAAUAAAGUGAGCCACG
rnacentral:rRNA from 1 species